CAACAGCUGUUUUUCUUAACGCUCUGUCUCCCGAAAAGCCCCAGUGUGUGUUGUUCCCCUUCCUGCGUCCAUGUGAUCCCAUUUUUCAGCUCCCAAUACAAGUGAGAAUGUGGCGUUUUGUACUCUUUUCCUGGAUUAGAUUUAAAGUGGACUCAUUCCAAUUACAGGGCCUCGAAAGAGUCCUGUAUUGUUAUUUUUCGUCACUACCUCCCCGGGUCGGGAGUGGGUAAUUUGCGCGCCUGCUGCCUUCCUUGGAUGUGGUAGCCGUUUCUCAGGCUCCCUCUCCGGAAUCGAACCCUGAUUCCCCGUCACCCGUGGUCACCAUGGUAGUCACCAAAGCCGCCGGCGCCCGCCCCCCGGCCGGGGCCGGAGAGGGGCUGACCGGGUUGGUUUUGAUCUGAUAAAUGCACGCAUCCCCCCCGCGAAGGGGGUCAGCGCCCGUCGGCAUGUAUUAGCUCUAGAAUUACCACAGUUAUCCAAGUAGGAGAGGAGCGAGCGACCAAAGGAACCAUAACUGAUUUAAUGAGCCAUUCGCAGUUUCACUGUACCGGCCGUGCGUACUUAGACAUGCAUGGCUUAAUCUUUGAGACAAGCAUAUGCUACUGGCAGGAUCAACCAGGUAGGUAGGUAGAGCGCGGCGAGGCCCCGACGCGGCCGGACGGCCGGCCGGGGGGCCUCGCGAGGACGGGCCCGGCGCCCCGCAAGCGAGGAGGACGACGGACGGACGGACGGACGGGCCGCGGACGGGCGGACGGGAGGGAGCGAGCGGGCGCGGGGGCGGCGGCCGGGACCGGUGGGGCCGGGGCGGGGCGCGGCGAACCGGACGCCCCAACCACCCGCCCCCCACGCGACACGACCACCGGGGCCCCGCGCCACAGACCCGCGACGCUUCUUCGUCGCGCCCGCCCGCGAGGAGGCGGACGGCCCGACCCGCGCCCGGCGGCCGGGAGGGACCGGCGGCCACGCGCGCGCGCGCGCGGCCGGCGCCCGCGGGCGGCGGCGAGGCGGGGACGGCGCUCCGCCCGCCCCGCGGGGCGGCCCCGACGUCCGGGCGGCGAGCGAGAGGCGGACCGCGG
rnacentral:lncRNA from 10 species